rnacentral:rRNA from 1 species
GAUGAACGCCGGCGGCGUGCCUAAUACAUGCAAGUCGAGCGAACGGACGAGAAGCUUGCUUUUCUGAUGUUAGCGGCGGACGGGUGAGUAACACGUGGAUAACCUACCUAUAAGACUGGGAUAACUUCGGGAAACCGGAGCUAAUACCGGAUAAUAUUUUGAACCGCAUGGUUCAAAAGUGAAAGACGGUCUUGCUGUCACUUAUAGAUGGAUCCGCGCUGCAUUAGCUAGUUGGUAAGGUAACGGCUUACCAAGGCAACGAUGCAUAGCCGACCUGAGAGGGUGAUCGGCCACACUGGAACUGAGACACGGUCCAGACUCCUACGGGAGGCAGCAGUAGGGAAUCUUCCGCAAUGGGCGAAAGCCUGACGGAGCAACGCCGCGUGAGUGAUGAAGGUCUUCGGAUCGUAAAACUCUGUUAUUAGGGAAGAACAUAUGUGUAAGUAACUGUGCACAUCUUGACGGUACCUAAUCAGAAAGCCACGGCCAACUACGUG